CACACAUCUAUUCAUUAAUUCAUGAAAAUAAUAAUAAUAAUGAGAAACGAUAAGCAUUCACAACAAGUAAAUCCGAAAGCAUCAGCAUAGGAUAAAGAUCCUUAAAAUAGUUUAAACCUACAUAAUAAUAAUCUUUAAAUAAUCAAAAGACCAAGAGUAGCAUCAACAUAGGAUAUGGAUUAAUUAAUAGUAAAGAAAGCGACAGAGCAAAAUCAUCAAGUAAACACAAAUUACCCUAUCGCAGCAGCACAUCCCGAAACCUAACGGCUCGCAUUAUGACAAUCCCUGGCAAAAUGGCCAUCCUCACCACACUGAUAUAAUCUAGGACAGAUUUUGUGAGAAACACAUUAAAUCAAUUUUGUGAGUACUGUACUUCUAAUAAAAGCUUUAACAGAAUCAAUUAAAACUUUAAUCAAUUUUGGGGUUUUGCUCAAAUUACUGUCCUAAUCGAUUUUAAGAUUUGAAGAUAUGUGCACAAGAGAUGAUCGAGAAAGAAGAGCAGUAGGUGCGAGAGAGAUGAGCGGAGAGGAGAGAGUGAGAAAGAGGGGAGACGGGAGAGAUAAACGGGGAGAGGGGGUGGGAAGAGCAGAGAGGCGAGAGGAGGAGAGUUAUUUAUUUUUGUAUUAAAUUUUUAUUUUAUGUAAAAACUUU
rnacentral:lncRNA from 1 species